rnacentral:rRNA from 1 species
GACGAACGCUGGCGGCGUGCCUAAUACAUGCAAGUUGAGCGCUGAAGGUUGGUACUUGUACCAACUGGAUGAGCAGCGAACGGGUGAGUAACGCGUGGGGAAUCUGCCUUUGAGCGGGGGACAACAUUUGGAAACGAAUGCUAAUACCGCAUAAAAACUUUAAACACAAGUUUUAAGUUUGAAGGAUGCAAUUGCAUCACUCAAAGAUGAUCCCGCGUUGUAUUAGCUAGUUGGUGGGGUAAAGGCUCACCAAGGCGAUGAUACAUAGCCGACCUGAGAGGGUGAUCGGCCACAUUGGGACUGAGACACGGCCCAAACUCCUACGGGAGGCAGCAGUAGGGAAUCUUCGGCAAUGGACGAAAGUCUGACCGAGCAACGCCGCGUGAGUGAAGAAGGUUGUCGGAUCGUAAAACUCUGUUGGUAGAGAAGAACGUUGGUGAGAGUGGAAAGCUCAUCAAGUGACGGUAACUACCCAGAAAGGGACGGCUAACUACGUG